GCGCGUGAGCGCGCCCUAUCGGCUCCUGGCGCGUCAACAUUCCGCGGGCCAGGCCUUGGGGCGCGUCUGAGGAGGGGGAUGUCUGUGGCCUCUCCGCCCACACUUCCUCCACCCACCGCCCACAGCGCCCCAGAAGGACCUAUUACUCGUUUGGCUUCUGAAGGCCGAAGCCAGGCUCUGGCGGGGAUAGAACCCUGAAGGGCCUGCGCCAGCUCCAACUUAGGGCCCUGCAGUGCCUGAUGGCUGAGAAGAAUCGCAGAGGACUAGAAAAGGUUUGAGUCUGAAAUUAUCUGGCACAGAGGAUUAAAGCUCAGAAAUAAGUGAUUGCGAAACAGUUCAACUUCCCUGUUAAUGACAACAACAACAGCAACACGCUUAUUAAUUCCUAGCUGGAGCAUCAAGCUUAUGAAGAUUUCCAAGACUUUAUUGUUGACCCUUGUUGAAGAGAACUCUACUUGGCUUCUUUCCUGGCUUUCCUAAAUUGUUCACAUACAAGAUAAACUACCGUCAUUCAGACUUACAGAAGUGAGAAGACAAGCUGAACCAAAUGUAAAAUGGUAGCAAUUUACAGAUGUCAGAACUAACAUGUGGAUGAACUUAGAGAUGGAGAAGAAAGCUGGGCUUUUCCAAAGAGUGGAUCUAUCUGAACUGGAUAGCACUAUUGAACUUUGUUGCAUAUUUUGUGGUAGCUCUAAAACUCCUCUGCUUGCUUACAUACAACCAGACACCAGUGCCUUCUGAAGCUAAUCCAGGCCAUUUUUAUAACCUAAUGCAGUAGCACUUUGCAAUUAGAUGAAGAAGAUCGGUGGGAUUUCUUUCUGUGGUGAUUAAAAUGUGUCAGGGGAAGAAAUCAAGACAAUACUCCAAGUGAAAAAUAUAAAGUCAGUUAUUUCUUUAAUAUUUUGUGUUAUAGUAAUCAUUUUUAUAUUUUGAGCAUACUUUUUCUUGUCUACUUAAAUACUCAAAAUUAAUUAUAAAAUGUAAAUGUAAGCACAAUGAGAUACCAUCUCAUCCCAGUUAAAAUGGCUUUUAUCAAAAAGAUAGGGAAUAAUGAAUACUGGUGGAAGGAUGUGGAGAAUGGGGAACCCUCGUACACUGUCAAUGAGAAUGUAAAUUAGUACAGCCACUAUGGAAAACUGUAUGGAAGUGCCUCCGAAAACAAAGUAGAACUACCAUGUGAUCCAGCAAUUACACUAGUGGGUAUAUAUUCAAAAGAAAGGAAAUCAACAUAUUAAAGAGAUAGCUGCAUUCUCAUGUUUAUUGAAGUCCUGUUGAAAUAGCCAAAAUAUGGAAUCAACCUAAGUGCCCAUCAGUGGAUGAAUGGUUAAAGAAAAUGUGAUUGAUAUGCAAUGGAAUAUUAUUCAGCCAUAAAAAAGAAUGAAAUCCUGGCGGGGCACAGUGGCUCAUGCAAGUAAUCCCAGCACUGACCUCAUGAAGACAGAGAGUAGAUUGGUGGUUACCAGAGGUUGAGAAGGGGAGAGGAGAGGAGGGAUGAAGAGAGGUUGAUUGAUGGAUAGAAAUAUACAGUUUGAUAAUGAUAAAUCAGUAGGGUGACUAUAGUUUAUAAUAACCUAUUGUAUGGUUCAAAAUAGCUAAAAGAGAAUAAUUGAAAUAACGUAAGACAAAAAUUUAAGAUGAUAGAUAUCCCAAUUACACUGAUUUGAUCUUUACAAAUUAUAUGAAUGUAUUAAAUUAUUACAUGUAUCCCCAAAAUAUGUACAAGUAUUUUGUAUCAAUAAAAAAUAAAAUUUAAGAUAAAGUAAAUGUAAUGAUUAGCUUAUAUUUCCUAGAUCGGAAAUAAAUAUUUACUUAAGUAUGUUUAUGAUGAAGAGUUUUUUUAUAUUACUAUAAAAAUAGACACCUUACAUAAACAUAUUACAGUUGGUGUUUAGAUGGCUCUUUUUUUUCUGGCCUUGAAUUUCUGGAAAGUAGGUAUGGCCUGCUAUGUCAGGACUAGUUCUUGGAAUUCUUUGUUGUUUUUCAGUCAGCCUUAUUUUCUUGGGUCAUGUUUUGAACAAUAUUUAUCAAAUGUCUGUUUACCAGACGUUGUUCCAGAUGCUUGAACAAAAUGAAAUGUCUGCUGUCAUAGAGUUUCCAGUCUAUGUAAGACAGUAAACAAAUGUAUAAUAUAAUGCUAGAUAGUGAUAAGUGCUAAAAAGAAGAAGAAAAUAGGAAAGGGGAAAGAGAGUUUCUGUGUGAUUGUAUGUGAAAGUGUCCAUGCAUGCCGCUCACCCAGUAUUUUAAAUAGAGUGAUCAAGGAAGCCUGUCUGAAGAAGUAACAUUUGAACAGAGAUCUGAAAUAGUCAGUCACGGGAACAUUUAGGGAGAUGUUCCAGGCAGGCAUUGUGGACAAUUUAUGUCACAAAAAAGUCACCCAAGUGUUAAGUCAAGUAACAUCCUGUAUGAUAACUAUAUAUACAUUUUUUUGUUUUUUCUUAAGUGAAAAACAAACUUAUUAGGUUUUCUGGGUACUCAUUAGGUUUUCAGAAAAGUUUUUCAUUUAAUAUCAUUAU
rnacentral:lncRNA from 1 species